CAGGAAUAGAGCUCAAAAUUAUACUGCAGGGCCACUACCCAGAAACCCUACAAACAGAGAGAGGGUAGUCUUUCGGCAACCUAUAGGACACAUUAGACAACCUUCUGCCCAAAUAAGACCUACCCUACGUAAUGGUAUACCACCCAGCUACCCACGGUUAUAUCCUGUUCUGGACCAUCUACAAGAUGACCGUCGGUCAGGUCGAACAUCAAGACAAAAGGACAAUUUUGCUUUGCAGCGUCCUUUGGUGGAUCAAAGACCCAGUACUAUAUACAACUCCUAGGCCCUUUGACUGGAGGAAGGGUGAUUGGUGUUUUAACCUUGGAUGUGCUACUAUUGCUUUUAUGUUUCCAAAUCUCUCUCCAAGUUGCGGGCCUGUAGCUUCAUCGUCAGUUUCAAGAUGUGGCUUACCAGUAGUAUCGUCCUUGAAUUUUUUCAAAAGUUAAUAGUGAUGUACAGUAUUUAUUUUCUUUUUUUCCUAAUUACAAGAAGAGAGUGUGUAUUUAUCUAUAUGUUGCUGAUUCAUUGACUCUAUUAUGUUCAUUGUUUAGUUAAAUAUACACUCAAUAUCCUUUGAAUAUUUUAUAUCUCUUGAAUAUUUAUUUGUUAAAUGAUUUUUGAAAAAAAAUAUA